UAUAAGAUGCUAGAGAGAGAAGCUCUGCCUUCUCUCUAACUUUCUCUUCAUCUUCUUCCCUACUUCAUCGUCUUCUUCUCCACUGCAUCUGCUUAGGUAAGUAAACCUAGCGAAGGUUGUUAUGGCAACGAGAAGAGGUCGCCCAAGAAAAGAAUUAGCACCAAUUUAUGCGAGUGAUGUAGUUUUCCAGAAAGCUGUUACCACUGUACCGAUGGUAGGUACUACUGUUCCAUUAAAGCCUGCUGCGAUUACUGUUCCAUUACCUCAAGUAUCAAGUAGGUACUACUGUUCCAUUAAAUCCUGCUGCGAUUACUGUUCCACCUCAAGUAUCAACAGAUCCACAACUGGUAGGUACAACUGUUUCAUCAAAUCCUGUUGCGAUUACUGUUCCAUUGCCUCAAGCAACAACAGAUCCACAACCUACUGCGAUUACUGUUCCAUUGCCUCAAGUACCAACAGAUCCACAACCAUCUGGAGUUUCAGUGAUACCAAUAGCAAAUGUUAAGAGUACAGAGCCUCCAAUCAAGCCUGUAACUGGUCCGAUGGAGCCUAAGAAUGGAGUCCAGACCUGCAUGCAACAAGCAACACCAGCUGAUGAUCCAAAAUCUGUUACAAAGGAAGGUCCAAAAUUAGAUCCACCUAAACAGUGGACUAGUCUCUUCCAGAGUCAAGCCUGUAACUAGUCCGAUGGGGCCUGAGAAAGGAGUCCAGAUCUGCAUGCAACAACCAACACCAGCUGAUGAUCCAAAAUCUGUUACAAAGGAAGGUCCAAAAUUAGAUCCACCUAAACAGUGGACUAGUCUCUUCCAGAAUAACAGACUUGCUGCAAAUGGUAUGUCCUUAGAAUAUAUUCCCCCUACGCUUGUUAAUGGCAAACCAGUUGGUCAACUGGUGAAGGAAGAAGUGGAGGAGGAAGAAGGGAAAUGGAAAUGUGCUCUUGUUGUAUUUGUGUUAGGUAAUAGCCCUGGGUAUAAUGGAAUGAAGAUAUUUAUUAAUCUUCACUGGUCACAUGUUCCUGAGCCUGAACUGUUUUAUCAUGAUG
rnacentral:lncRNA from 1 species